rnacentral:snRNA from 1 species
UUACUUACCUGGCAGGGGAGACACCAUGAUCAAGAAGGUGGUUCACCCAGGGUGAGGCUCGGCCAUUGCACUCCGGUUGUGCUGACCCCUGAGAAUUCCCCAAAUGUGGGAAUCUCGACUGCGUAAUUUAUGGUAGUGGGGGACUGCGUUUGCGUUAGG